CUAUGCUGAUAUGCAAAAUCAUUGACUCUUUUCCCAUCAAGCCACAACUUUAAUCCUCUGAAACUUUGAAAAAAUCUUUAAGAAGAAAUUAAAGGAUGGCACAAAUUGAAAACAGCAAUGGAGAUGGAAGAUGGCUUCUUCAUGGCAUGACUGCCCUAGUUACUGGUGGUACUAAGGGCAUUGGGCAUGCCAUAGUAGAAGAAUUAGCGAAUUUUGGUGCAACGAUCUAUACAUGUUCAAGAAAUAAAAAGGAUUUGGAUGAAUGUUUGGAGAAAUGGCAAAACAAAGGGUAUAAAGUAAAUGGUUCUACAUGUGACUUGUUUUUAGAAGAUCAAAGAAUUCAGUUGAUUGAAAACGCCACUGCAUACUUCAAUGGGAAACUUGACAUCCUUGUAAAUAAUGCUGCUGUAUGUGUACCAAAAGAGACCGACAAAAUUACAUCGGCAGAUUGCUCACUAAUGAUGGGAACAAAUUUCGAGGCUUCAUACAACUUGUGUCAAUUAGCAUAUCCUUUCUUGAAAGCUUCAGGAAAGGCAAGCAUUGUGUUCAUCUCUUCAAUCGCUGGGAUCAUAGCUAUUCCUUUUGUUUCUCUCUAUGCAGCAACAAAAGGAGCAAUAAAUCAAUUAACGAAGAACUUGGCCUGCGAAUGGGGAAAAGAUAAUAUUCGAGUUAAUGCUGUUGCACCUUGGAUUAUUGAUACCGCACUUACAGAUACUGUAGCUGAAGAUUUUGAAUCAAAAGAUGUGGAAAAUUUGAUUAAGAGAACUCCAAUUAGCAGGAUGGGAAAACCAAAUGAAGUUUCAUCACUUGUGGCUUACCUAUGUUUUCCUGCUGCUGCUUAUAUAACUGGCCAAAUUAUUUGUGUUGAUGGUGGAAAAACUGUUUGUGGAUUUCCAUAAUUAAUUACUUUCAUGCCUCAAAUGAUAAAAGAGAAGUCUUCAUCCAAAUAAGGACUCGUAUAUACCUUAAGUUAAGAUGGAAGAUUUCUAUCCAUUUCAUCACAACCCACGGUGAUGUUGGAUAGUUUUUGUAUUUAAGAUUAAUGUGCUUUCUAGCUUCUCUUUUUUCCUAAUGUUACACUACAAGAUACUAAA